CACAAAUUUAAACACUCUCAUUAAAUGUAAGGUACCUCCUGCUGGGUGCUUAGAGCACCAAGAGGCAAAGGAAAAGUGAAUUGAGGUGCUGAGACCAGCAAGAGGAGAGCUGAGGCAGCGCUGCUUUUCAUGUGCCUUCGGACAUCCAAACGAUAUAUGAGACGGGAAACCUCGAAACCUCGGGGCUGUGAAAUUUGCACCCUGAGCUGUGCUCAGGCCAAUAUGAACCCCAAACUGAAACCUGCAUGUGAGCGCCGGGUGAUGCACAGCUCAUGCACUGAAACGUGUUUCGGUUUUGGUGAAAGGGCACCCACAGACCCGGGCACUGCCUCACUUCUCUAACAUGAACUCAAUGGAACCCCCCCACACAGAAGGAACACGUGAACCACUGCGAUGGAUGGUAAAGAGAAAAUGCAAAUCCUGAUUGCAGCUCUGAUUGCAAGAGAGGAAAAAUGUUUGAAAUUAGAACCAAGCCUAUUACAUCCAAAUUCUACAGGGAAGAUGUGUGCGGGGCUUCUUGUGGGGUUUUAAAGAAGAAGUCCAUGUGAUUGAAUUGCUCUUCAUGCACAGCUCUCCCCCCAAGGAACACUCAACAGUACAGUUUCAUUUCCCCAUGAGGAGCUCAGCCCCACUGCCAUUGCGGCUCGGCGUCGCGACCUCCUCUUGUGUUGCAUCACUGUCACCAUUUGUUAGAGUAGCCCAGUUGCUAAUAUGUCAGACACCCACAUCAAAAAGCUCCUGAAACCUCCUGGAAACUGAGAAGCCUCAUUGAUUAAGGCUGGGUUUAAUCUCAUUGGCUGAUUUGAGUCUCUGAUAUCAGAGCUGUGUGUGUUUGAGAAUGGAUGCGUAGCUCAGCAUGGGUGCUGAUCUUUGCAUCGUGCAUCAGUGGGAGCUUUCAUUCACGUUCAGCAGAAAGGCAGUUUUUCUCAGGCUCUUCAACCCCAAUUUUUGCUGAAAUGCUGAUUUCCUUACGAUGGGGAAAGGGAAGAAGCAAACCAUCAAAGCUCACUGUGAAAUCUUGCUGCAACCAUCACGAGCGCACCACGUGCUCCAGCAGGGACUGCAAAGCCUUAUGGAUAUAGGAUUGGGGCAGGAGUUCUCUGAGAGCAAUCUGCUUCCCCAUCCAACUCCUGGAGUUGGUAGGAAUGAGUUCCCUGCCUCAAACACACUUGGUGCACCUGCCAGGAUUACGAUGUUAAGAUGUGCCUCGUGAGCUUCCCUUUGAGGAAGAUGGAACUGAUGACAACCAGAACAUGAGUUCAUGCUUUAUCAAAGCUGGCUUAGCAAGUAUUUAACCCCCACCACCACCCACCCUCCUACUCUGGUGACUAAAUUAAUGGUUUUCUUCAGAACAGCUGUGCCGAUGCACAAAACCCCUCCG
ensembl:lncRNA